rnacentral:ncRNA from 1 species
UCCGCGAGGAAGGGCCUGAAGGACAGAUAUGUAGCUCCUGCAAAAUCUGCAUUUCCACCAUCUAUGGAGGUUAAGCCGCUCGCCCCCUCGAUUUAAAAGAAGGCGAGCUGAUGAACAAAUACAUCUAUGAGGUGUCGGGUCAAGGAGAGUUGCCGCAAGACGACGAAGCCAAGUGAUUUAAGACCCUGUACAUGAUGCAGUUGUGCAGUGAAAGUUCA